UAGGGAAUCUUCCGCAAUGGACGCAAGUCUGACGGAGCAACGCCGCGUGAGUGAAGAAGGAUUUCGGUUCGUAAAACUCUGUUGUUAGAGAAGAACAGCGCAUAGAGUAACUGUUAUGCGUGUGACGGCAUCUAACCAGAAAGCCACGGCUAACUACGUGCCAGCAGCCGCGGUAAUACGUAGGUGGCAAGCGUUGUCCGGAUUUAUUGGGCGUAAAGCGAGCGCAGGCGGUCAAUUAAGUCUGAUGUGAAAGCCCCCGGCUCAACCGGGGAGGGUCAUUGGAAACUGGUUGACUUGAGUGCAGAAGAGGAGAGUGGAAUUCCAUGUGUAGCGGUGAAAUGCGUAGAUAUAUGGAGGAACACCAGUGGCGAAGGCGACUCUCUGGUCUGUAACUGACGCUGAGGUUCGAAAGCGUGGGUAGCAAACAGG
rnacentral:rRNA from 1 species